GCUUGUCUCAAAGAUUAAGCCAUGCAUGUCUAAGUAUAAGCGCCUUAUACUGUGAAACUGCGAAUGGCUCAUUAUAUCAGUAAUAGUUUAUUUGAUGGUCCCUUACUACCUGGAUACCCGUAGUAAUUCUAGAGCUAAUACAUGCACUACAUUCCCAACUGCUUUUGCGGGCGGGCUGCCUUUAUUAGAUCGAAACCAAUGCGGCGCAAGCCGGUGUUGUGGUGAUUCAUGAUAACCUAGCGAAUCGCAUGUCACUUUGUGGCGGCGAUGUUUCAUUCAAAUUUCUGCCCUAUCAAUUUGAUGGUAGGAUAGAGGCCUACCAUGGUGGUAACGGGUGACGGAGAAUUAGGGUUCGAUUCCGGAGAGGGAGCCUGAGAAACGGCUACCACAUCCAAGGAAGGCAGCAGG
rnacentral:rRNA from 1 species